rnacentral:lncRNA from 1 species
CUGGUGGAUGACGUGGUAAUGGGAACGAGUGUGAAAGAAGCACAUGGCAAGUGAGACCCACGGCACCUGGUCAUAACAGAUGAUAUGUAUUCAACCCAAGGUGGAGCAGUGGUCAUUACCCACCGUCACCCAUCACCAUGCCAAAAACACCUCCUUGCAGCUCCAGUCUCCAUACAGCAUGGUGUCUUCUAGGUGAACUGACUUUACCUGGCUGAACAUGGGGGACAUGUAUUUCAUAUGAAGCAGAAAUAAAAAGGCAGCAACAGAAACAUCUUCAUCUCACCCAGUUGUGCAAGACAUGGAAUGUGACAAGUUUUAGGAUGAAUGAACAGCCAGAGACAGGACAGCCAUUGUAAACAGCAAAUACACUUCUGGAAUUGUGUAAAGAGCUGCUGGCAGACCAAGAGGUCAAUUUUAUCCUGAGUGAGAGAGAGUGCUGCCAGAACCACCCAGAACAAGACUUCCAAACACAGCAGAUCCUGUGGAGCCAGUUAUAUGGAACAGUACAAUUACACAACAAAUGUGGGUUCCAGGUAACACAAAGAAUCAAUUUCCCCCAUAUGCAUGGAAACUUUAGAGGCAGGGUAUAUAAAGCAAGGAGAUUGUGUUGGACAAUACUCUAUCACUGAAGACGAAUAGGCACAAUGGAAAUGUUUAA